AGGCCAGUAGCUCAAUUUGGCAGAGCACUCGUCUCCAAAACGAGCGGUUGUGGGUUCAAGUCCUACCUGGCCUG
rnacentral:tRNA from 1 species